rnacentral:rRNA from 1 species
UACGAAGGGGGCUAGCGUUGCUCGGAAUCACUGGGCGUAAAGGGUGCGUAGGCGGGUUGGUAAGUCCGCUGUGAAAGCCCGGAGCUCAACUCCGGAGGGUCGGUGGAUACUGCCAGUCUUGAAGGUUCUAGGGGGAGAUGGAAUUACCGGUGUAGCGGUGAAAUGCGCAGAUAUCAGGAGGAACACCGGUGGCGAAGGCGGAUCUCUGGGCCAUUACUGACGCUGAGGAGCGAAAGCGUGGGGAGCGAACAGG